rnacentral:rRNA from 1 species
AUUGAACGCUGGCGGCAGGCCUAACACAUGCGAGUCGGACGGUAGCACAGAGAGCUUGCUCUCGGGUGACGAGUGGCGGACGGGUGAGUAAUGUCUGGGGAUCUGCCCGAUAGGGGGGGAUAACCACUGGAAACGGUGGCUAAUACCGCAUAACGUCGCAAGACCAAAGAGGGGGACCUUCGGGCCUCUCACUAUCGGAUGAACCCAGAUGGGAUUAGCUAGUAGGCGGGGUAACGGCCCACCUAGGCGACGAUCCCUAGCUGGUCUGAGAGGAUGACCAGCCACACUGGAACUGAGACACGGUCCAGACUCCUACGGGAGGCAGCAGUGGGGAAUAUUGCGCAAUGGGCGCAAGCCUGAUGCAGCCAUGCCGCGUGUAUGAAGAAGGCCUUCGGGUUGUAAAGUACUUUCAGCGGGGAGGAAGGCGAUGUGGUUAAUAACCGUAUCGAUUGACGUUACCCGCAGAAGAAGCACCGGCUAACUCCGUGCCAGCCGCCGCGGUAA